CAGUCGCCGCGGUAAUACAGAGGGUGCAAGCGUUAAUCGGAAUUACUGGGCGUAAAGCGCGCGUAGGUGGUUUGUUAAGUUGGAUGUGAAAUCCCCGGGCUCAACCUGGGAACUGCAUCCAAAACUGGCAAGCUAGAGUAUGGUAGAGGGUGGUGGAAUUUCCUGUGUAGCGGUGAAAUGCGUAGAUAUAGGAAGGAACACCAGUGGCGAAGGCGACCACCUGGACUGAUACUGACACUGAGGUGCGAAAGCGUGGGGAGCAAACAGGAUUAGAUACCCCGGUAGUCCAUGUCUCUUAUAC
rnacentral:rRNA from 1 species